GAUGAGCCCAGGAACAAACUUAGGAAGCUGUUUUCCCCAAAUUCCUCUCUCUCUCUGUGACCUCCCUGGUCCUUUCCAGAUCGCUGGGCUCCCUUUUUCGGUCCUCUGACCAAAAACCUGAUGUAGUUAGCCCACUCUGCCAUGUACUUCCUACAACUGCACCCACAGUCGCGACCAAGCAGCAAAGAUUUAAGAGGAUAAAAAAGCGUGACGGUCCAGCACUUUGGGAGGCCGAGGCGGGUGGAUCACGAGAGAACCAUCCGGAGUAGUGAGCAUGCUUCAUGUCCAGAUGCUGCUUGCUGAAAACAUUCUCAGAACAAGAGGGACUAGCCCAAGAGGGAAAGCCCUGCAGAUCGCUCACUCUGGGAGUCACCUGUCAUGUCAUGAUGAUGCUCAAGCAGCCUUGCGGAAAAGCUUCACGAGGAGAGGAACUGAGACCUCCUGCCAACAGCCAUGAGAGGGGCUGUCGUAAAAGCAGAUCCUCUAGCCCCAGUCAAGCCUUCAGAUGACAGCAGCUCCUGUGGACAUCUUGACCACAACUUCAUGAGACCCUAAGCCAGAAACACUCAUCUAAACUUCCCCAGACCUCUGACUCUCAGAAACUGUGAGAUAAUAAAUGUUUGUUAUUCUAAACUGUUAUGCCUGGGGGUAACUUGUUAUACAGCAAUAAA